rnacentral:lncRNA from 1 species
AUGAGAAGGAAUGGCCUGUAUUUCAUGCUUGUGAAUGUCCUUUCUCUUUUUACUGUGUGUUUGCUCAGUCGCUCAGUCUUGUCUGACUCUUUGCAACCCUUUGGACUGUGGCCUGCCAGGUUCUUCUGUCCAUGGGAUUUUUCAGGCGAGAAUGGAAACACUAUCUUUACUGACUCGCAGUCAUCUUGCAAAGCUGAAGGAAUCAGCUGUAGGAUGAAGCCCACAGUGGCUGGUGCAGCAGAGAGGACGAGCCGACCAACCAACCCUGGAGACUGGACUGUCUCUAGACUUAACAGUGGGGUUAAAGGAUACAUUCCUCACUGCUGUGUCAGUUUGAGCUGUGUUUCCCUUUGCCUGAAGUCAAAAUCAUUCUGAUAUAGGAUUAUGGUUUUAAAUAAAUAUGUAAGCCCAUAUAGGCAAAGCAAAAGCAUAAAUAAGUCAAGGAAUCUCUUGAGGGUGGGGCCCUUUAAAAACAGCUUAAAUAGUACCAUAGCUUACACGGCUGAGUGCUUAUUACAAGCCAUACAAUUUUCUAAGCAUUCUGCAUAUUAUCUCAUUUAAUCUUCCUAAUAACCCUAUGAAGUAAAAACUACUCUUGUCUCCCUCAUACAAAUGAGAACAUCAAGGUGCAGAAAAUUAAUCCAGUUAUUCAAGGUUAAGCAGCAGAGCCAGGAAAUCUGACUGCAGAGCCUGGCACUAAAUCAUUACAUUGCACUUUUAAAGGAGAGUCCUUUUAAGACGACAGGAAUACAGAAAAUCCUGCUAAGAAACAUGCAUCAGGGCAGGCUCAUUCAACACUUCCUCUGCACCAUUUUCCAGGGAUAUUAUGACAGUCAAAUAUGAUGAUUUAUAACCAUCACCUUUAUCAUCAAUAAUAUUCAUCUAAAAUUUAUAAAUAUCACAUAUUUGUUCCCAUAGACCUGAGAAUAAAAAUUCACCUCUCCGAGCCUCAGUUUACUCAUUUUUUUAAAUGAGGAUUUUUGAACAAAAAACUUCUCUCAGCAAUUAUACCAUCCUAAGCGAUGCUGAUGCUGACAAGAGUUUCAAACCAAUAUCCGAGUAUUUGAUCGUCAGAGAUUUGUAGAGCUCUAGAGCAAGAGAGUUCCAGAAAAACAUCUAUUUCUGCUUUAUUGACAUGCCAA